GGAGGAGGAGGAGGAGGAGGAGGAGGAUGUGAUGAAUCACGCCGGGAAUUCCCACCUGGAAGCACAGAGCCCCGUUGUGGUCGGCGUCGAAGGCGUCGAACAAGAGCUACUCCCACGGCCCCAAAACCACCCCAGGGUGCCGUGGUGGAGCCCAAAAUUCCCUUUGGGCCCCUGGAGCACCCCAGGUGUCGAAUCCCGAGGGGUUUCCCACAUUCUGGAGGCGCAGAACAUUCCGGAGCCGCCUCUCCCCGGCCGAAGAUGGGCUCCAGGAUGCCAAACUGCUUGAGCACGGCGAUGAAGAGGAGGAUGACCACGGCCACGGCGCACAGCUCCAUGCCCUGGAUGCCCAUGGCCCCCGGGGGGGGGUU